UGGAGGCGGAGAUUUGGAAGCGAAAAUUGACAUGUUGCUGAAUGUGGAGAAGUAGAUGAGGCAAGUAGGUGAUGUUGCAGGUACGACGAAGGCCGUCACACCUCUUGAAAUUCUUCUUCUCACACCUCAAACAAUACCCCUCAGUUUCUCCCUCCAAGAAAGCCAAAGCCGGCGAAGGAGAGACGCCGCAGUUCAGUCCUCCCACCGCCAAAAUACCCUCACCCAACCCCACCAUCAAACCAUUUCCCUUCUCCUCUGUUCACUUCUUCGAGGAAAAAGUUUAAAGAAAGCAGGUGAAGUUCAUGGUGGUAUGGCCGACUCAAGGGUUCGAAUGUGAUGGUACGGCAGCACCCGCGGGAGAAGCAGCUGAGGAUGUGGGUACAAAUCCAAGAAAGGAAAACCCCGCUGGAAAAAACCCUUAAACCACCGUUUUCUCCCCAUCAUCAAACCCCACCCACACUCACAUGGUGAAACCCUCUCACCUUCAUUUCUUUUUUCUUGUGUUCAUUUCUCACCCAAAAAACAGAGUAAAGAAAACCAAGAAAAGCAGGGGGGAGAGACAGAGCGAGAAGGAGGCCUCAAAUUAUGGUUUGGGAUUACACUGGUUUUGGAUAUACAAGGUACAAUGCCAGAGACAUUAACAAAGAAAUACUAGGGUGUCAUUGCUAAGAGGAUAUAAAUCAGACAGGAGACUUGCAAACUCGACAAUGAUGGCAAUUCUGGAUGGCUUUCAGAAGGCAUAUUCCGUUGAUUUCAGACCACUCAAUGUACUACGCGCUGCUGCAUUCCAAGGGGCUCAUUAUAUUUCACCAUUGAAAAGGCAAAUAAUCUCGUAUGCAUCUGGUAACCAAGCUUGUACACUCGUUUGAGGAAGGUUCGGAGG